CAAAUGGGCAGGCAGAAGGUACUCUUCAGUUAUCCCAGCAUUAUUUAAUGCAGCUGAUCCCUAAAACUCUCCAGUGCCUUUGCAAAGAUUUAAGUGCGGUGGGGGGCGUUCCCUUAGAGACCGUGACAUCACACCCUACCUUCCCAGGGUGAGAAGGCGAGCUCUCACAGAUUGCACCUCUCUACUCAUUUUCCUGGAUUCAGGAUCCACAGACCUGUGUACAACACGUAAAGGGGACAACAAAGCGAGAGGUGCCCGGGUGCUUUUCCUUGCAAACCUGCGAGGAGCCGGUCACUCUUGUCUGACUGCUACAGCAGCUCACAAGGCUCAUAUCAGCUCAUCACCCUGUCCAGGUGCCUCUUGAAUCCGUCCACCUUGCUGCAUAUCUUUGCUGGUGACUGUGCGUCAACAUCUAUAAUAUUUCAGAUCAGACGUUCCCUUUGCCUCUCUCCUGGCUCACCCAUACUCCAUCUCCACUCCUAUUGCAAAGCGUGUGGUUCUUAGCUCCCUGACCAGGGAUUGAACCUGUGCUACCUACAUUGGAAGGCAAAGUCUGAACCACUGGACCACCAGAGAAGUCCCUAAACUUGCAGUCUUUUAAAGGGAAUGCUUCAGUGGUCUCUUCUGUCCUUAAGGGGGCUGUAAAAGUGAGGGCUUCCUACAUUUAAAAGAACUAAUUGAAACAAGGAGGGUGCACCAGUUUGAUCCCUGGUCUGGAAAGAUCCCACAUGCCAUGAGCCACAGCUACAGAAGCCCGCGUCGCCUAGAGCCCACACACCACACCUAGAGGAGCCACCGCGUGGGAAGGCCGUGCACUGCAGCUAGAGAAAGCCUGCCCGGCAACCAGGACCCAGGCAGACAAAAGUAAAACAAAUACAUCCACGAACUACAAGGAAAUGGUUCUGCGGGUCCUCAGAAAAUAAAUAAAUAAAAUAUACCAUGUCACUUUCUUGCCUAGAAUUCUCCAGUUGCGUCCCGUGACUUUCCUGCUGACCUCCUGAUUCCCUACUGUGACCUGCAAGACGCACCCUCACCCUACUCCCUACUCCCGUUCUGGCCUGACCCUGACCUCACCUGGAAUCCACCUGCUCGCCCAGCACGGCCUCAUGUCGGCCUUCCCGGCCUUUCAAGCUCUCCUCCAGCUGCGGGGCGAGCUGUCCCCUCUGCCUAGGGUGUCCCCCACCUCUGUCUGCACAGGCGGCUCCUUCACGUCAUCCGUGCUCCUCUUCAAAGGCCACUGCCCACAGAACACUUCCUUCUAGACAGACACUUAUGUAUUGACUUAUCUAAGUUGACGUCUGGUUUUGCUUUCUGUUCGUUGAAUGUAAUACUUUCAGAACAUCUCUCAUUUUACUACACUCUUCUAUUAUAUGUCUCCUCCCACCAGCACAUAGACUCAUACUUUUCUCCCCAUGCUUAGAACACUGUGUUGCAUAAAACAGGCGCGCAUAUAUUUGCUGAAUGAAUGAAUGCAUAAAUAACUAUAAAUAUAAUAAAGUAUAAAAAUAGUUUAUUUGAGGGGAAUCACCUAAG
ensembl:lncRNA